rnacentral:lncRNA from 1 species
CCCGGGGCCGAGGCGGCGGCGCUGCCCCCCCAUGAGGAUGGAGGCCCGGGAGGCGGCGCGGGCCCGGCCCGGCCCGGCCUUCAAAGGCUUCGGGGCCGAGAACAAGUUUUUCCUCCCCAAACUCAGCAGCUUCUCCUGCCCCGCUGGGAAUUCCUCCUGCUCCCUCAGCUACGCCCCAGGUGAGUUUUCCCUCUGGAAUUUGGGAUCCGGGGGUGUUUUCCCUAAAAGCAACCCCUGGAGAAGGGGAAGUUUGGAUUUUUCUGGGAAUUCCCGUGGUUUUCCCCAUAGAAAUUCCUGAAAGAUUCCCGGGAGCCAAUGGGCAGUGGAGGAGCUCCAAGCCCCGGGGGAGCCGAGGCUCCUUCCUGGAGACCCGGAAAAAUUCCAGGUGGGUGCAGCAGAUCCUGGAUUUCCAGGUUUUAAUUGGUAUUUUUUGGGGUUUUUUUUAAUUUUUAGGAUUUUUUUUGAGAGUCUUGGGAUUUUAGGGUGGUUUAUUUUCUUUUUCCGGGGGAUUUUUUGGUGGCUUUAAUUUGGGAUUUUGGUUAUUUGGGAUUUGAGAUUUUUCGGUGGGGUUUGGGAUUCUUGGUGGGUUUUUUUUUUCAUUUUAUUUGGGAUUUUUGAGGGGUGG